UGUCGAUGAAGAGUGCAGCUAACUGUGUGAAUUAAUGUAACCUGCAAGCCACUCUGAACAUUGACCUCUUGAACGCAUAUUGCAGCCGCGAGUACACUCGUGGCUACAUCUGGCCGAGGGUCG
rnacentral:rRNA from 1 species